UGCUGUUCUAGCAUGCGAGUCAUUGUAGCAUACAAGGCAGACGGCUCAGUAACGCGUAGUCAAUCUACCCUAUGGACGGGAAUAACCUCGGGAAACUGAGAAUAAUGCCCGAUAGAACAUUAUGCCUGGAAUGGUUUAUGUUUCAAAUGAUUUAUCGCCGUAGGAUGGGACUGCGGCCUAUCAGUUUGUUGGUGAGGUAAUGGCCCACCAAGACUAUUACAGGUACGGGCUCUGAGAGGAGUAGCCCGGGGAUGGGUACUGAGACACGGACCCAGGCCCUAUGGGGCGCAGCAGGCGAGAAAACUUUGCAAUGUGCGAAAGCACGACAAGGUUAAUCCGAGUGGUUUCUGCUAAAGAAACCUUUUGUCAGUCCUAGAAACACUAACGAAUAAGGGGUGGGCAAGUUCUGGUGUCAGCCGCCGCGGUAAAACCAGCACCUCAAGUGGUCAGGAUGAUUAUUGGGCCUAAAGCAUCCGUAGCCCGUUUUGUAAGUUUUCGGUUAAAUCCAUGCGCUUAACGUAUGGGCUGCCGGGAAUACUGCAUAACUAGGAAGUGGGAGAGGUAGACGGUACUCGGGAGGAAGGGGUAAAAUCCUUUGAUCUCUUGAUGACCACCUGUGGCGAAAGCGGUCUACCAGACACGUUCGACGGUGAGGGAUGAAAGCUGGGGGAGCAAACCGGGAUUAGAUACCCCAGGUUAGUUCCAGCUGUAAACCUAUGCCAACUCAGUGAUGCAUUUGGGCUUUAUGGACCAAUGCCAGGUGGCCUGUGCCAAGGGGGA
rnacentral:rRNA from 1 species